CGACACACAGAAAUAUCUUGUUAAAAACAGAUUGAGUAACGCUAUAGAUUAAUCGCUUUAACUGCAUAUGCAUAAUCCAUCAUGUGCGUCAAUUCGGAAAAAUGCCUAAACCGCGCACAGUGCGAUAUACAAAAAUUGAAAUAACUAUUAUUCGAUUUUGAUCUUAUAAUUCGAUAACAUAAUCAGUCUUGAAAGCCAUUUAUAAUAUUGACUUGGUUGAAAAAUGAAUUUCUGAUUACAUUUAUUUCAAGAAAAUUUUUAAUAUUACCCAAAAUCUCUAAAUGCUGGCACAAUAUCUGACGAAAUGGAAGGGAAAAUAAAUUAUUUCUGGACGAAAAAAUGGAAAGAUCAUUCCCUGCAUCUGCACUAUUUAUUUAAACGUUAUCGUGUGUGGCUAGACGAAGAAAUAAAUAUUCAAGAUAUUUUAACUAAGGGAGGGAGUAAGGAAAAUACUAACAAAGAUUUGAUAAAUAGAUUUUUACUUACCUCGGAUCACCUAAUAAACGAUUAAGUUUUAGGAACACUGUA